rnacentral:rRNA from 1 species
GGCGACCGGCCACAUUGGGACUGAGAUACGGCCCAGACUCCUACGGGAGGCAGCAGUGGGGAAUAUUGCACAAUGGGCGCAAGCCUGAUGCAGCGACGCCGCGUGAGGGAUGGAGGCCUUCGGGUUGUAAACCUCUUUUGUUAGGGAGCAAGGCACUUUGUGUUGAGUGUACCUUUCGAAUAAGCACCGGCUAACUACGUGCCAGCAGCCGCGGUAAUACGUAGGGUGCAAGCGUUAUCCGGAAUUAUUGGGCGUAAAGGGCUCGUAGGCGGUUCGUCGCGUCCGGUGUGAAAGUCCAUCGCUUAACGGUGGAUCCGCGCCGGGUACGGGCGGGCUUGAGUGCGGUAGGGGAGACUGGAAUUCCCGGUGUAACGGUGGA